UUAAGCGACUAAGCGUACACGGUGGAUGCCCUGGCAGUCAGAGGCGAUGAAGGACGUGCUAAUCUGCGAUAAGCGUCGGUGAGGUGAUAUGAACCGUUAUAACCGGCGAUUUCCGAAUGGGGAAACCCAGUGUGUUUCGACACACUAUCAUUAACUGAAUCCAUAGGUUAAUGAGGCGAACCGGGGGAACUGAAACAUCUAAGUACCCCGAGGAAAAGAAAUCAACCGAGAUUCCCCCAGUAGCGGCGAGCGAACGGGGAGGAGCCCAGAGCCUGAAUCAGUGUGUGUGUUAGUGGAAGCGUCUGGAAAGGCGCGCGAUACAGGGUGACAGCCCCGUACACAAAAAUGCACAUAUUGUGAGCUCGAUGAGUAGGGCGGGACACGUGGUAUCCUGUCUGAAUAUGGGGGGACCAUCCUCCAAGGCUAAAUACUCCUGACUGACCGAUAGUGAACCAGUACCGUGAGGGAAAGGCGAAAAGAACCCCGGCGAGGGGAGUGAAAAAGAACCUGAAACCGUGUACGUACAAGCAGUGGGAGCCUCUUAAUGGGGUGACUGCGUACCUUUUGUAUAAUGGGUCAGCGACUUAUAUUCUGUAGCAAGGUUAACCGAAUAGGGGAGCCGAAGGGAAACCGAGUCUUAACUGGGCGUUAAGUUGCAGGGUAUAGACCCGAAACCCGGUGAUCUAGCCAUGGGCAGGUUGAAGGUUGGGUAACACUAACUGGAGGACCGAACCGACUAAUGUUGAAAAAUUAGCGGAUGACUUGUGGCUGGGGGGUGAAAGGCCAAUCAAACCGGGAGAUAGCUGGUUCUCCCCGAAAGCUAUUUAGGUAGCGCCUCGUGAAUUCAUCUCCGGGGGUAGAGCACUGUUUCGGCAAGGGGGUCAUCCCGACUUACCAACCCGAUGCAAACUGCGAAUACCGGAGAAUGUUAUCACGGGAGACACACGGCGGGUGCUAACGUCCGUCGUGAAGAGGGAAACAACCCAGACCGCCAGCUAAGGUCCCAAAGUCAUGGUUAAGUGGGAAACGAUGUGGGAAGGCCCAGACAGCCAGGAUGUUGGCUUAGAAGCAGCCAUCAUUUAAAGAAAGCGUAAUAGCUCACUGGUCGAGUCGGCCUGCGCGGAAGAUGUAACGGGGCUAAACCAUGCACCGAAGCUGCGGCAGCGACACUAUGUGUUGUUGGGUAGGGGAGCGUUCUGUAAGCCUGUGAAGGUGGCCUGUGAGGGUUGCUGGAGGUAUCAGAAGUGCGAAUGCUGACAUAAGUAACGAUAAAGCGGGUGAAAAGCCCGCUCGCCGGAAGACCAAGGGUUCCUGUCCAACGUUAAUCGGGGCAGGGUGAGUCGACCCCUAAGGCGAGGCCGAAAGGCGUAGUCGAUGGGAAACAGGUUAAUAUUCCUGUACUUGGUGUUACUGCGAAGGGGGGACGGAGAAGGCUAUGUUGGCCGGGCGACGGUUGUCCCGGUUUAAGCGUGUAGGCUGGUUUUCCAGGCAAAUCCGGAAAACCAAGGCUGAGGCGUGAUGACGAGGCACUACGGUGCUGAAGCGACAAAUGCCCUGCUUCCAGGAAAAGCCUCUAAGCAUCAGGUAACAUCAAAUCGUACCCCAAACCGACACAGGUGGUCAGGUAGAGAAUACCAAGGCGCUUGAGAGAACUCGGGUGAAGGAACUAGGCAAAAUGGUGCCGUAACUUCGGGAGAAGGCACGCUGAUAUGUAGGUGAAGCGACUUGCUCGUGGAGCUGAAAUCAGUCGAAGAUACCAGCUGGCUGCAACUGUUUAUUAAAAACACAGCACUGUGCAAACACGAAAGUGGACGUAUACGGUGUGACGCCUGCCCGGUGCCGGAAGGUUAAUUGAUGGGGUUAGCGGCAACGCGAAGCUCUUGAUCGAAGCCCCGGUAAACGGCGGCCGUAACUAUAACGGUCCUAAGGUAGCGAAAUUCCUUGUCGGGUAAGUUCCGACCUGCACGAAUGGCGUAAUGAUGGCCAGGCUGUCUCCACCCGAGACUCAGUGAAAUUGAACUCGCUGUGAAGAUGCAGUGUACCCGCGGCAAGACGGAAAGACCCCGUGAACCUUUACUAUAGCUUGACACUGAACAUUGAGCCUUGAUGUGUAGGAUAGGUGGGAGGCUUUGAAGUGUGGACGCCAGUCUGCAUGGAGCCGGCCUUGAAAUACCACCCUUUAAUGUUUGAUGUUCUAACGUGGGCCCCUUACCGGGGUUGCGGACAGUGUCUGGUGGGUAGUUUGACUGGGGCGGUCUCCUCCUAAAGAGUAACGGAGGAGCACGAAGGUUGGCUAAUCCUGGUCGGACAUCAGGAGGUUAGUGCAAUGGCAUAAGCCAGCUUGACUGCGAGCGUGACGGCGCGAGCAGGUGCGAAAGCAGGUCAUAGUGAUCCGGUGGUUCUGAAUGGAAGGGCCAUCGCUCAACGGAUAAAAGGUACUCCGGGGAUAACAGGCUGAUACCGCCCAAGAGUUCAUAUCGACGGCGGUGUUUGGCACCUCGAUGUCGGCUCAUCACAUCCUGGGGCUGAAGUAGGUCCCAAGGGUAUGGCUGUUCGCCAUUUAAAGUGGUACGCGAGCUGGGUUUAGAACGUCGUGAGACAGUUCGGUCCCUAUCUGCCGUGGGCGCUGGAGAACUGAGGGGGGCUGCUCCUAGUACGAGAGGACCGGAGUGGACGCAUCACUGGUGUUCGGGUUGUCAUGCCAAUGGCACUGCCCGGUAGCUAAAUGCGGAAGAGAUAAGUGCUGAAAGCAUCUAAGCACGAAACUUGCCCCGAGAUGAGUUCUCCCUGACCCUUUAAGGGUCCUGAAGGAACGUUGAAGACGACGACGUUGAUAGGCCGGGUGUGUAAGCGCAGCGAUGCGUUGAGCUAACCGGUACUAAUGAACCGUGAGGCUUAACCUU
rnacentral:rRNA from 1 species